AGGCCCUUUGACUUCAGCAGCUGUGGCUCCUAGUUGUCUUGGAACUCACAGAGAUUCACCUGCCCCUCCAAUGCUGGGAUUAAAGGUGUGUGCUACCACAACUGGCAAAGCCCUGGAUACACUAACAGCUAUCUAUUGUCCCCUGUAAGUGGGUAAGUGUGGGCGCAUGAGCCCUAUCUCAAUGGAGUUGUUAACCAGAAAUCAUUAUAGGUCCAGCAGCAGGCUGAGAGACAGUGGUCUUGACCAUGUGUUGUCACCAGACAGGAUGGGAGCCUUAGGACAUCAUGGCAGCAGCAGUAUUGAGCCAUGGUGUGAUACAGGAUCAGAGUCUAGAUCCCAAGCCUCUUGUGGCUUGUGGGAACACUUCUGACCCAGAGCUGCCUGUAGUCAUGCCCUGCUGGUACUAUCCCCAAAGGGCAGGACUACACAAAGGCCACCCUUUUACCUGUGGUUGCCCGGCCUUGCAGGCUCUUGCCAACCCCACUCUCAUAGACAGGAAGCACAGAGACCAAGUAUUCUGUGCUGGAGGUCA
rnacentral:lncRNA from 1 species